rnacentral:rRNA from 1 species
CAGGACGAACGCUGGCGGCGUGCUUAACACAUGCAAGUCGAACGAUGAAGCCCUUCGGGGUGGAUUAGUGGCGAACGGGUGAGUAACACGUGGGCAAUCUGCCCUUCACUCUGGGACAAGCCCUGGAAACGGGGUCUAAUACCGGAUACCACUCCUGCCCGCAUGGGUAGGGGUUGAAAGCUCCGGCGGUGAAGGAUGAGCCCGCGGCCUAUCAGCUUGUUGGUGGGGUAAUGGCCCACCAAGGCGACGACGGGUAGCCGGCCUGAGAGGGCGACCGGCCACACUGGGACUGAGACACGGCCCAGACUCCUACGGGAGGCAGCAGUGGGGAAUAUUGCACAAUGGGCGAAAGCCUGAUGCAGCGACGCCGCGUGAGGGAUGACGGCCUUCGGGUUGUAAACCUCUUUCAGCAGGGAAGAAGCGAAAGUGACGGUACCUGCAGAAGAAGCGCCGGCUAACUACGUGCCAGCAGCCGCGGUAAUACGUAGGGCGCAAGCGUUGUCCGGAAUUAUUGGGCGUAAAGAGCUCGUAGGCGGCUUGUCGCGUCGGAUGUGAAAGCCCGGGGCUUAACCCCGGGUCUGCAUUCGAUACGGGCAGGCUAGAGUGUGGUAGGGGAGAUCGGAAUUCCUGGUGUAGCGGUGAAAUGCGCAGAUAUCAGGAGGAACACCGGUGGCGAAGGCGGAUCUCUGGGCCAUUACUGACGCUGAGGAGCGAAAGCGUGGGGAGCGAACAGGAUUAGAUACCCUGGUAGUCCACGCCGUAAACGUUGGGAA